rnacentral:rRNA from 1 species
GGGUUGUGAGGUUAAGCGACUAAGCGUACACGGUGGAUGCCCUGGCAGUCAGAGGCGAUGAAGGACGUGCUAAUCUGCGAUAAGCGUCGGUAAGGUGAUAUGAACCGUUAUAACCGGCGAUUUCCGAAUGGGGAAACCCAGUGUGAUUCGUCACACUAUCAUUAACUGAAUCCAUAGGUUAAUGAGGCGAACCGGGGGAACUGAAACAUCUAAGUACCCCGAGGAAAAGAAAUCAACCGAGAUUCCCCCAGUAGCGGCGAGCGAACGGGGAGCAGCCCAGAGCCUGAAUCAGUGUGUGUGUUAGUGGAAGCGUCUGGAAAGGCGCGCGAUACAGGGUGACAGCCCCGUACACAAAAAUGCACAUGCUGUGAGCUCGAUGAGUAGGGCGGGACACGUGGUAUCCUGUCUGAAUAUGGGGGGACCAUCCUCCAAGGCUAAAUACUCCUGACUGACCGAUAGUGAACCAGUACCGUGAGGGAAAGGCGAAAAGAACCCCGGCGAGGGGAGUGAAAAAGAACCUGAAACCGUGUACGUACAAGCAGUGGGAGCACGCUUAGGCGUGUGACUGCGUACCUUUUGUAUAAUGGGUCAGCGACUUAUAUUCUGUAGCAAGGUUAACCGAAUAGGGGAGCCGAAGGGAAACCGAGUCUUAACUGGGCGUUAAGUUGCAGGGUAUAGACCCGAAACCCGGUGAUCUAGCCAUGGGCAGGUUGAAGGUUGGGUAACACUAACUGGAGGACCGAACCGACUAAUGUUGAAAAAUUAGCGGAUGACUUGUGGCUGGGGGUGAAAGGCCAAUCAAACCGGGAGAUAGCUGGUUCUCCCCGAAAGCUAUUUAGGUAGCGCCUCGUGAAUUCAUCUCCGGGGGUAGAGCACUGUUUCGGCAAGGGGGUCAUCCCGACUUACCAACCCGAUGCAAACUGCGAAUACCGGAGAAUGUUAUCACGGGAGACACACGGCGGGUGCUAACGUCCGUCGUGAAGAGGGAAACAACCCAGACCGCCAGCUAAGGUCCCAAAGUCAUGGUUAAGUGGGAAACGAUGUGGGAAGGCCCAGACAGCCAGGAUGUUGGCUUAGAAGCAGCCAUCAUUUAAAGAAAGCGUAAUAGCUCACUGGUCGAGUCGGCCUGCGCGGAAGAUGUAACGGGGCUAAACCAUGCACCGAAGCUGCGGCAGCGACGCUGAUGCGUUGUUGGGUAGGGGAGCGUUCUGUAAGCCUGCGAAGGUGUGCUGUGAGGCAUGCUGGAGGUAUCAGAAGUGCGAAUGCUGACAUAAGUAACGAUAAAGCGGGUGAAAAGCCCGCUCGCCGGAAGACCAAGGGUUCCUGUCCAACGUUAAUCGGGGCAGGGUGAGUCGACCCCUAAGGCGAGGCCGAAAGGCGUAGUCGAUGGGAAACAGGUUAAUAUUCCUGUACUUGGUGUUACUGCGAAGGGGGGACGGAGAAGGCUAUGUUGGCCGGGCGACGGUUGUCCCGGUUUAAGCGUGUAGGCUGGUUUUCCAGGCAAAUCCGGAAAAUCAAGGCUGAGGCGUGAUGACGAGGCACUACGGUGCUGAAGCAACAAAUGCCCUGCUUCCAGGAAAAGCCUCUAAGCAUCAGGUAACAUCAAAUCGUACCCCAAACCGACACAGGUGGUCAGGUAGAGAAUACCAAGGCGCUUGAGAGAACUCGGGUGAAGGAACUAGGCAAAAUGGUGCCGUAACUUCGGGAGAAGGCACGCUGAUAUGUAGGUGAAGUCCCUCGCGGAUGGAGCUGAAAUCAGUCGAAGAUACCAGCUGGCUGCAACUGUUUAUUAAAAACACAGCACUGUGCAAACACGAAAGUGGACGUAUACGGUGUGACGCCUGCCCGGUGCCGGAAGGUUAAUUGAUGGGGUCAGCGCAAGCGAAGCUCUUGAUCGAAGCCCCGGUAAACGGCGGCCGUAACUAUAACGGUCCUAAGGUAGCGAAAUUCCUUGUCGGGUAAGUUCCGACCUGCACGAAUGGCGUAAUGAUGGCCAGGCUGUCUCCACCCGAGACUCAGUGAAAUUGAACUCGCUGUGAAGAUGCAGUGUACCCGCGGCAAGACGGAAAGACCCCGUGAACCUUUACUAUAGCUUGACACUGAACAUUGAGCCUUGAUGUGUAGGAUAGGUGGGAGGCUUUGAAGUGUGGACGCCAGUCUGCAUGGAGCCGACCUUGAAAUACCACCCUUUAAUGUUUGAUGUUCUAACGUUGACCCGUAAUCCGGGUUGCGGACAGUGUCUGGUGGGUAGUUUGACUGGGGCGGUCUCCUCCUAAAGAGUAACGGAGGAGCACGAAGGUUGGCUAAUCCUGGUCGGACAUCAGGAGGUUAGUGCAAUGGCAUAAGCCAGCUUGACUGCGAGCGUGACGGCGCGAGCAGGUGCGAAAGCAGGUCAUAGUGAUCCGGUGGUUCUGAAUGGAAGGGCCAUCGCUCAACGGAUAAAAGGUACUCCGGGGAUAACAGGCUGAUACCGCCCAAGAGUUCAUAUCGACGGCGGUGUUUGGCACCUCGAUGUCGGCUCAUCACAUCCUGGGGCUGAAGUAGGUCCCAAGGGUAUGGCUGUUCGCCAUUUAAAGUGGUACGCGAGCUGGGUUUAGAACGUCGUGAGACAGUUCGGUCCCUAUCUGCCGUGGGCGCUGGAGAAUUGAGGGGGGCUGCUCCUAGUACGAGAGGACCGGAGUGGACGCAUCACUGGUGUUCGGGUUGUCAUGCCAAUGGCAUUGCCCGGUAGCUAAAUGCGGAAGAGAUAAGUGCUGAAAGCAUCUAAGCACGAAACUUGCCCCGAGAUGAGUUCUCCCUGACUCCUUGAGAGUCCUGAAGGAACGUUGAAGACGACGACGUUGAUAGGCCGGGUGUGUAAGCGCAGCGAUGCGUUGAGCUAACCGGUACUAAUGAACCGUGAGGCUUAACCUUACAACGCCGAAGGUGUUU